rnacentral:lncRNA from 1 species
CGGGCGCGGGGCGGCCUAGGCGAGCUGCGCCAGGCGCUAGGCGCUAGGAGACGCGGGCGCAGGGGCGUGCGCUAGAAAGAAAGGAGGGGAAAGGAGGAAGGAGAAAGGAGGAAGAAGGAAGAAGGAAGAAGGAGAAGGGAAAAAGAAGAAAAAGAGAAAAGGGAAAACAAGAAUGGGAAAAAGAAAAGAAAAGAGAGGGAGGGUCAGCGAAAAGUGUGGAAAGCGGUCGGGCACGCGUGACAUAUUUUGAUGGGCACACGGUGAAAUUUGCGGAGGGAGAAAAAAAAUAUGACUGUCGGUGUUGGGUAUGGGGACGGUGGGGUCGCCGGGAAGGAAAAGAUUUUCGGGAGCUCAACGGUUGAAAGAUUUUGAAAACAAAUUUUUAGCGGGUGAUUUGAGUUAGUAGAUUUUACGGAUGUUACAGGGUAGUUUUUGGUGAGGGAGGCGGAGCCCUCACGCCGGCGCCGGCGCACUGUCGCUGCUCACUGUGCACUCGGGCGCGAGCCAGAGGUGGAAGAAGGGGCGAAGGGCGCGGGUGAGAGAAGAAUAGAAGUUAAGGGGGUGUUGUGGAAAUAUGUUGGAGUUAAGUGCUAGAUGGAAAAACUGCAAGGGUCUUAAGUGCUAGAUCUAGGAGCGUUAGUGCAAAAGAAAGGGUGGAUUCGCUAGGAUAGUUUUGUUCUGAAGAAUAGAAGUUUUCUUUUUCUAUUUUUGUUUUAGUUGAAAUGAUUGAAACUUUGGAAAUCCGUAUAAAUUAUAGAAAAAUGAUAAAACGCAAAAUAAGUUUUUUUGGGUUCCUGAUGCUCAGUUCUACCUAGGAAAAAUACUUGUCCUUGUGAAAUAUGUGUUUCUAUUGCUGAUUAAAAUACAUAUUAU